rnacentral:rRNA from 1 species
UAGCGGAGGGUGCAAGCGUUAUCCGGAUUCACUGGGUUUAAAGGGUGCGUAGGAGGGCAGGUAAGUCAGUGGUGAAAUCUCCGAGCUUAACUUGGAACUGCCGUUGAUACUAUCUGUCUUGAAUAUUGUGGAGGUGAGCGGAAUAUGUCAUGUAGCGGUGAAAUGCUUAGAUAUGACAUAGAACACCAAUUGCGAAGGCAGCUCGCUACACAUAAUAUUGACUCUGAGGCACGAAAGCGUGGGGAUCAAACAGG